GAAUGAAAGAGGCCAGCAUCUCUGGGUGAGGGGGUCACUAGAGGUCACCUAAUCCAGCCCCCUCAAUGGUGCUGGUGACUUCUCCAUGGCAGGUCUGGCCCUUGGUGUGUCCCCGCACCUCGUCUAUAUCCCUGUUCAUUGGUUGUAGCAGCGAGCCAGGGCUCCCCCAGUACCUGCAGGGACUGUGCUUUAUGUGGGGAUUCAGAGGGGCCAAAGCUCUCCCAGCCCCAGGGCCAGCUGGGGAGGCAGAGAAGCCAGCUAGCAGGGACAGUCCAGUGUGCAGGGUGCGGGUGAAGAGAGAGACAAGCACCUGGGACCAGAGCCCAGGGAGCAACAAAUUGGGCCUGGAGGGUCCAGGAAGGAAUCAGGGCAGUGAAAAUGGCCAGAAGAAAGGAAGGGGGUGAUCCAGGUAGAAGGCACUGUGGGGACGCACACAGGCAGGCCAGAGCUGGCACUGAGGGGGUAGUCUAGGCAGGGAGGAUGCCAGCUCAGACCAAGCAUCGAGAACCCUGCAAGCCACAGGUGCUCAGGUGGAAGGGCUAAACCACGGUAUGUCUGAGACUCACCUGGCUCAACUCAGGCUCAGCCAUGGAAACUGUGGCCAUUAACCCAUGGACAUGGAUAGGGUGACAUCAAAUAUAUGGGAUGUUUGUGUGUGUGUAUGAUCAGAUUUAUGUCGGAGAAAGCAGUUGGGGUAGCUGGUAUUGAGAGGAUUGGAAGUGCAAGACAGGAGGCCAGAAGUCAGGAGGCUUUUGCUAUGAUGGUGGCAUGCACAAGGGACUGGAGACAUUAAGAAGGAAUAAUUGACAGUUACAGGGAGGCCGACAGCAUCAGGGGUCCCUGCCCCCCAUUUCCACCUAUAACUCAAUGGCCGACUGCUCCAUUUGUGGUGGGAAGUCCUUAGGCAUGGGCAUAGUGGGCCCUGGAUGCCCAAAGAUCUGCAGCUUAGCUGGGGGAGGGGGAGUAAGUGCCCUCCAGCACUGAGGGCUGAGCACUGAGGGAUGAAACUGAGUUUCAUCAGUUCUCAAGGUCAGCCAGGUUGAUGGUUAACAGUUAAAAACAGUAUUGGGGCCAGGCACGGUGGCUCACGCCUGUAAUCGCAGCAUUUUGGGAGGCCGAGGUGGGCAGAUCACCUGAGGUUGGGAGUUCGAGACCAGCCUGACUAACAUGGAGAAACCCCUUCUCUACAAAAAAUACAAAAUUAGCCGGGCGUGGUGGCGCAUGCCUGUAAUCCCAGCUACUCAGGAGGCUAAGGCAGGAGAAUCACUUGAACCCGGGAGGCAGAGGGUAUGGUGAGCCAAGAUGGUGCCAUUGCACUCCAGCCUGAGCAACAAGAGCAAAACUUCAUCUCAAAAAAACAAACAAAAAACAAAACAAACAAAAAAGUAUUGGAGACAGGUGCGGUGGCUCAUGCCUGUAAUCCCAGCACUUUGGGAGGCCGAGGUGGGUGGAUCACUUGAGGUCAGGAGUUAGAGACCAGCCUGACUAACAUGGUGAAACCCUGUCUCUACUAAAUACAAAAAAUUUAGCCAGGCAUGGUGGCGCAUGCCUGUAAUCCCAGCUACUUGGGAGGCUAAGGCAGGAGAAUUGCUUGAACCUGGGAGGCAGAGGUUGCAGUGAGCCAAGAUCACACCAUUGCACUCCAGCCUGGGCAAUAAGAGUGAAACUCCAUCUC
rnacentral:lncRNA from 1 species